rnacentral:rRNA from 1 species
AUACGGAGGAUGCAAGCGUUAUCCGGAUUUAUUGGGUUUAAAGGGUGCGCAGGCGGCCGUGCAAGUCAGCGGUGAAAGCCCGGGGCUCAACCCCGGAAGUGCCGUUGAUACUGCAUGGCUGGAAUGCGGUCGAGGCCGGCGGAACGUGGCGUGUAGCGGUGAAAUGCGUAGAUAUGCCACAGAACGCCGAUAGCGGAGGCAGCUCGCCAGGCCUGCAUUGACGCUCGGGCACGAAAGCGUGGGGAUCGAACAGGAUUAGAUACCCUGGUAGUCCACGCCGUAAACGAUGGGCGCUCGUCGUCGGCGGCAGACAGUCGGCGGCCAAGCGAAAGCGAUAAGCGCCCCACCUGGGGAGUACGGUCGCAAGGCUGAAACUCAAAUGAAUUGACGGGG